rnacentral:snRNA from 1 species
ACGCUAUGUUGGACUUAG